GAAAAUAUGAAGUGAAGCAGGAAGUGUGAGCAACCCUUAACAGACUAUAUUGAAGGCUACAACGACAGAAAGGUCCACUUUAAAGGAGAUGUAUUUUUCUGAAGCUAUUGUGAUGUCUUUAUCUUCUGUUUAUUAAAGAAUCAAACAAACAGAAAAGCAAUGAGAGAAAAAUUCAAAGGAGGACUACAAAGAUGGUGAAGAAUCUGGAGCAGAAGACAUAUGAAGAGUGGCCAAGGUCACUUCGUUUGCUAAUGUUAGCAAAAAGGAGACUGAGGGGAGACUACAUGGCAGCCUAAAGCUUCCUCAUGAGGUGUGCAGAGGGCAGAUGCUGAUUUUUCUGGCAACAGUGACAGAACCUGUCAUGGAGCUGUAUAAGGGAAGGAUCAAGCUGAGUGUUAGGAAAACUUUUGUCACCAUGUGUUCUUGGGCACUGAAACAGUCUCCCCAGAGCAGUGAUGAUGACACCAAGCUGUCAGAGUUCAAGUGUGUUUGAACCAUACACACUCAGACAUAGAGUUUGAUUUUAGGAUGGUUCUGUGUGGAACAAGGACUCAACAAUCAUAGAAUCAUACUGUGGUUUGGUUUGGAAGGGACCUUUAAGAUCAUCUAGUUCCAGCCCCUCCUAUAGGCAGGGACACCUCCCUCUACUCCAGGCUGCUCAAAGCCUCAACCAUCCU